AUUGAACGCUGGCGGCAGGCCUAACACAUGCAAGUCGAGCGCGCGGCGGACGGGUGAGUAAUGUAUGGUUCUCUGCCCGAUAGAGGGGGCUAACUACUGGAACCGGUUGCUAAUACCGCAUACUAUCUGAUGAACCCCUAUGGGAUUAGCUAGUAUGUGGGGUAAAGGCUCACCUCGGCGACGAUCUCUAGCUGGUCUGAGAGGAUGAUCAGCGCCACGGGGACUGAGACACGGCCCAGACUCCUACGUGAGGCAGCAGUGGGGAAGAUUGCACAAGGGGCGCAAGCCGGAUGCAGCCAUGCCGCGUGUAUGAAGAAGGCCUUAGGGUUUUAAAGUACUUUCAGCGGGGAGGCGUUACCAGAAGAAGAAGCACCGGCUAACUCCGUGCCAGCAGCCGCGGUAAUAC
rnacentral:rRNA from 1 species